rnacentral:sRNA from 2 species
GCAAGAUCUCUAUAUAUGUGCUAUUUUAGGUAUCCGACAGUGGUAAUGCUAGCUGGUUGGUAGGCACCUGACGGAGUUUAUCCAGCCUCGAUGCCUACGAGCACCCGAGGUUUCACUGGAGGCAAAAUGGGAUGCGGGUACCGACAUAUGGAAUGCGGGAUGUGUUGUGGAUAUUUAAGAAUCCAAUCCACUAAACACAUUUUAGUUAUAACAGGCUCUACUCUAUGAGGUUUUCGCAGGAAAGUAUCUGUUUGAUAGCCGUCCAAGUGCAGCGGGAUCUUAUGUCCCUGGAUAUCAUUUGUCCCAAAUGAUUACCAGAGACCUACUCAAUAGAGGCCAAGCAUCCGGCAAAUACUUUGACUCGGAAGGCAAUAGCUGCACAAUCACUGUUUCAGCAGAAUUUACCUGAUAAAAAUUGUGAUAGGUAACCUUAAGGGCAUCCCUAGAAUGUCCGGAUACUCAUUGGGUGGGUUCAUUGAAAACAAGAGCUUUUACUCCAUUCAGGAGAAGGAAGAUUUUGUCCAGUUCCUCCAAUCUAUGCUUGCUCUUGC